rnacentral:rRNA from 1 species
GACGAACGCUGGCGGCGUGCUUAACACAUGCAAGUCGAACGAUGAAGCUGGAGCUUGCUCCGGUGGAUUAGUGGCGAACGGGUGAGUAACACGUGAGCAAUCUGCCCUUGACUCUGGGAUAACUGCGGGAAACUGUAGCUAAUACCGGAUAUGAGGCCCGAAGGCAUCUUCGGGUCUGGAAAGAAUUUCGGUCAAGGAUGAGCUCGCGGCCUAUCAGCUUGUUGGUGAGGUAAUGGCUCACCAAGGCGACGACGGGUAGCCGGCCUGAGAGGGUGACCGGCCACACUGGGACUGAGACACGGCCCAGACUCCUACGGGAGGCAGCAGUGGGGAAUAUUGCACGAUGGGCGAAAGCCUGAUGCAGCAACGCCGCGUGAGGGAUGAAGGCCUUCGGGUUGUAAACCUCUUUUAGCAGGGAAGAAGCGAAAGUGACGGUACCUGCAGAAAAAGCACCGGCUAACUACGUGCCAGCCGCCGCAGUAA